UUCUCCAUCGUCUCCAUAGAAACCAGAUCCAAAAAAAAAUAUUUCAAUCUCUCGUUCUCAGUAAGCGUCUCCACCUCAUCUUCUUCAUCAAUCAAACAACAACUACCAUCGUCUUCUUUCUACACCACCAGAAAACAGCAGCACCACCAUCAACAACAUAAUCUUCUUCCAACUCCAUUAUCAACACCAUCAAUCUACCACUACCAACAUCGACAUCACCACCACCAUCUCUACUACCAGAAGAGACCAACGACGUUGGUAACAUCAUGUUUCUCCAACACCGUCACCGAUGUCGUCACCACCGCCACCGUCCAUAAAGAAAUCUCUUAUGCCCUAAUUUAAGUUAGAUUUCUCAAAUUCAUAAAUUGAGAAAAUUAGGGUUUUGUGUUAAUUGAAGUAUAUGUUCAAAUAGGUGCAGCUGCAGGAUUGGACCGAGCUUGGUUGCAGUUGAAACUGAGCCUAAGAAGAUGUUGUUCUUGCUGGUAAACAGAUGAAUUCGAGGUUGAGCUGUUGUUGCUGGAAGAUUAUGAUGAUGAAUUAAGAACGAGUUUGGUUCAGGGAAAUGAAGAAAAUACUCAAAUUUGGCAGGCAAGGUAUUGUUAGGCAAAUUUACAAAGGCAACAUAUUUGUAUAUGAUAGUGAAAACGAUCUUGAGAAUGGUGGAUACUUUUGCGCUAAGUGCCAAAUGUGUGAGAAGAUUAAGCUGUUCAAUGGCUGUCAAGAUAUCGAUGUCCCACAGGGUUUAAGGAUUCAGCAGCAUCUCUGAAAUCUCCUCAAUCAUCUAGAUCGUCAUGACAGGCAAGAAGGGAAAACAACCAAGAGUUCAACAAUAACCGCCAAGGUAGGGAAGGAGCUUUCUCCAUUGGCCAAACUUUGAGAAUCCGAAUUGGUCUCUCUUAAGGGCCACCUUUGCCGCGUGAUUGUCAUCUACCAGACUGAUGUUACAGUAAAACUCGAUUAUCAUUUGGCAAACAAUGCUAAGAGAUUCUGUAUACAUGGAGUUCAGAGGUGUUGGACUGAAUCAAAUUAUGUUUCUUGAGAAUUGUUCAUUUUCUUACUUUGUUUUGUCCAAUAGGUUCAGUUGAUAAAUAAAAAACCCAGCAAAUCUCUAUAUUCCAAGGCAACUAACGCUGGUGUUGAUCCCAAAGUGGCUGCUAAAAGACUCAAAAUUGACUGGGAUACAACUGCAGAUAUUGACGAUGUGAGGCUAGUGACCAAGUAGACGUACCCGCCGCCAUGGGAUUUGGUGCGUUGUACUUGGUUACCGCUCUUCCAGUUAUCGUUGGAGUCUCCGUCGUACUGAUUCUGUUCUUUAAUUCUCUGCAUUAAAGCUGAACAUCUUUCUGAAGUUGGUGUGAAGAGGAUGGAGGAAUUUUGAGGUGUCUGUUUUGCUUGGUCGUAGCGUAAGAAGUGGUAUUUUAGGUGUUGAAGUUAAGAAGCACGCACAACUGGUGGAGUUUUGGUUGUUGUUAGACUAAGAAGAGGUAUUUUAGGUGAUUGAUAUUUUUUUGUUUUUAUUUUCCUGGGUCAAAUAUCCAAUUUAACUAAAUGAACAAUAUUUUUCUGUUUAAUGUCCAUAUAAACAGUAUCUAAACCUAACCGUCCGUUUCACCCAGGAAAUAUUAGUUUUGGUCUUUUUGA